GGGAUCAUUACUGAGUUACCGCUCUAUAACCCUUUGUGAACAUACCUACAACUGUUGCUUCGGCGGGUAGGCCGUCCCCUGAAAAGGACGCCUCCCGGCCCGGACCGGACCCCCCGCGGGACCGGACCCGGCGCCCGCCGGAGGAUAACCAAACUCUAUUGUAACGACGUUUCUUCUGAGUGGCAUAAGCAAAAUAAUCAAAACUUUUAACAACGGAUCUCUUGGUUCUGGCAUCGAUGAAGAACGCAGCGAAAUGCGAUAAGUAAUGUGAAUUGCAGAAUUCAGUGAAUCAUCGAAUCUUUGAACGCACAUUGCGCCCGCCAGCAUUCUGGCGGGCAUGCCUGUUCGAGCGUCAUUUCAACCCUCAAGCUCUGCUUGGUGUUGGGGCUCUACGGUCGACGUAGGCCCUCAAAGGUAGUGGCGGACCCUCCCGGAGCCUCCUUUGCGUAGUAACAUUUCGUCUCGCACUGGGAUCCGGAGGGACUCUUGCCGUAAAACCCCCCAAUUUUCCAAAGGUUGACCUCGGAUCAGGUAGGAAUACCCGCUGAACUUAA
rnacentral:rRNA from 1 species